rnacentral:lncRNA from 10 species
UGUGGUCCCAGUACUCAGGAGGCUGGGGUGGGAGGAUCACUUGAGCUAGGGAAGUCGAGGUUGCAGUGAGCUGUGAUGGCACCACUGCACUCCAGCCUGGGAAACAGAGCAACACCCUGUCUCAAAAUAAAUAAAAUUAGCCAUCACAGGCAGACUGGAGGCAGAACUGCUGCUUCUUUGGGAAACUUUAGUCUUUGGCUAUAUAUCUAGAUAUAGAUAUAAAAAUAGUAUAUAGUAUCUGUGUCUAUAUUUCCUAUGGUUUUGUUUCUCUGGAGAACCCUGGCUAGUACACAUCCCCCAGCCAGAGCUGUUCAAAGGGCACCCCAGCUUCGAGGGAAGCUGGAAAUGAUCUCAAACUUGGAGGGUGUGCCCGUUGGGACUGCCAUAGCACCGCAUCAUCCACUGGGUGCCUUAAACAACAGACACUGAUUAUCUCACAGUCCUAGAAGGGAAGGCCAAGAUUAAGGUGUGGGCGAGGCUGGUUCCUCCUGCAGCCUCCCUCCUUGGCCCGUGGAUGCCAUCUCCCCCGUGUGUCCUCACACAGCUGUC